AUACUGGCCAGAGACCGAUAGCGCACAAGUAGAGUGAUCGAAAGAUGAAAAGCACUUUGGAAAGAGAGUUAAAAAGCACGUGCAAUUGUUGAAAGGGAAGCGCUUGCAGCCAGACUUGCCUGUAGUUGCUCAUCCGGGUUUUUACCCGGUGCACUCUUCUACGGGCAGGCCAGCAUCAUUUUGGGCGGUUGGAUAAGGGUCUCUGUCAUGUACCUCCUCUCGGGGGGAUCUUAUAGGGGAGACGACAUGCAACCAGCCUGGACUGAGGUCCGCGCAUCUGCUAGGAUGCUGGCGUAAUGGCUGUAAGCGGCCCGUCUUGAAACACGGACC
rnacentral:rRNA from 1 species